rnacentral:rRNA from 1 species
CACGUAUUUAGCCGGAGCUUCUUUUUCAGGUACCGUCACUUUCUUCCCUGCUGAUAGAGCUUUACAUAACGAAUUACUUCUUCACUCACGCGGCGUCGCUGCAUCAGAGUUCCCUCCAUUGUGCAAUAUUCCCCGCUGCUGCCUCCCGUAGGAGUCUGGGCCGUGUCUCAGUCCCAAUGUGGCCGUCCACCCUCUCAGGCCGGCUACUGAUCGUCGCCUUGGUGUGCUUUUACCACUUCCAACUAGCUAAUCAGACGCGGGUCCAUCUCAUACCAGAUUUCUCCUUUUCACACGAAUACAUGCGUCUUCGUGCGCUUAUGCGGUUUUACCACCUAGUUUCCCGAUGCUAUCCCCCUGUAUGAGGCAGGUUCGCCCACGCGUUACUCCACCCGUCCGCCACUAAGAUACUUCUCUUUCACCUCGAAAGCUUCCAAGCAAUAUCUCCGUUCGACUUGCAUGUGUUAGGCACCGCCGCCACGUCGUUCACUCCU